AAACCUGCUCUUGGGUCUCAGGAUUUAGAUGUUAUCCGGGUUCUUGCAGAGAUAGUCAUUAUCGUUAUUAUGACUCUAGUGGCAGCACAAAUUGCAAGUGUUCCAAAGGUUUUACGGGUACUGAUUGCAAAACAGCCACAGAUGAAUACCCAAUGGACCUUGUUGAAAUGGAGUUUGAAUUUCAUGAAUGUUCAAAUAAACUUUGCCCUCAUAUCAUUGUUUCCGGGUCGAAAAGUUGGUCAAACGCCAAGGAACGCGUAUCUAUUGCAAUUAAAACGCUUGCAGAAGAUUCCUUUGAGCUCCCCGAUCCGCCUGCGUAUAUCUUCACAGACACCGAAAUUGGAUUGCAUAGUAUUGCUGUUUCGGUAACUGCAAAACGAGGUAGUUAUUCAGUGAAAUGGACAGAUAAUCAAGAAUGCAGCUACGCAAAGGCUUGCAGAUAUGACAAAAAUAUCCGCAUUUCAGCAGCUGGACUUUCUUUAAUAGAAAAUGGCUUUACCCACGGCGAUAG